rnacentral:lncRNA from 1 species
AGAAAGGGCGUGGAAAGAUUGUAAGAGUCAUAAUAACAGGGAGUUGUGGAGAGUCAGACAUGACUCCAGGCAAAUAGGACUGUGCCUAAAAUGGAGAAGUCACAACAACAGGGGCCGACAACACAAGACCAGAAGCACAGAGCUGUACUCGGCCAUCGGCAUCAUGCCAGGACCAUGAAGCGCUGAAGAUGCAGACCAUUGCCCAUGACUUGGAAGGAACCAUACAAGACGCCCCUUGAGAAACAGUUCCCAGUAGUACAGGACUUUAUUUUCAGACAUUUCUCAGUGACUCUGCCAAACAGUGUAAGUGGAUAGAACAAAAGAUUGGCUUGUUUGGAAGCUUUUGUGAAAAGAUGAACUCCAAGAAAAAUAAACGAACUGAAAAAAAAAAAAAAAAAAAAAGCAGUAACCUAGAAACUCGCACC